CGCACUAACCGGGGAGUUAGCGGUGCCCUGUACCUGCAAUCCGCUAUAGCAGGGGUGAAUGCUUCCGCGCGGCUGUCGUUCUGUAUAGCUGGUGUUUGUAAGUGGUGAUGAGAUUUUGGUCCUGUGCAACGUUUGGCUGUGAACCUCGUCAGGUCGGGAACGAAGCAGCGAUAAGCAGUUUUUUGCGUGUGCCGCGGGGUUGCUGAAGUUGAGCUAACUGCAAAAGUGCCGU
rnacentral:SRP_RNA from 2 species